UACAAAAAGGGCAAGCGUUAUUCGGAAUUAUUGGGCGUAAAGGGCGCGUAGGCGGCUUGGCAAGUGGAAGGUGAAAUCCCUCGGCUUAACCGAGGAACUGCCCUCCAAACUGCUUUGCUUGAGACCAGGAGAGGCGAGUGGAAUUCCCAAUAUAACGGUGAAAUGCAUAGAUAUUGGGAGGAACACCAGUGGCGAAGGCGGCUCGCUGGACCGGUUCUGACGCUGAGGCGCGAAAGCGUGGGGAGCAAACGGG
rnacentral:rRNA from 1 species